rnacentral:rRNA from 1 species
GAGUUUGAUCCUGGCUCAGGAUGAACGCUGGCGGCGUGCCUAACACAUGCAAGUCGAGCGAUCUUCUUCGGAAGAGAGCGGCGGACGGGUGAGUAACGCGUGGGUAACCUGCCCUGUACACACGGAUAACAUACCGAAAGGUAUGCUAAUACGAGAUAAUAUGCUUUUAUCGCAUGGUAGAAGUAUCAAAGCUCUGGCGGUACAGGAUGGACCCGCGUCUGAUUAGCUAGUUGGUAAGGUAACGGCUUACCAAGGCGACGAUCAGUAGCCGACCUGAGAGGGUGAUCGGCCACAUUGGAACUGAGACACGGUCCAAACUCCUACGGGAGGCAGCAGUGGGGAAUAUUGCACAAUGGGCGAAAGCCUGAUGCAGCAACGCCGCGUGAGCGAUGAAGGCCUUCGGGUCGUAAAGCUCUGUCCUCAAGGAAGAUAAUGACGGUACUUGAGGAGGAAGCCCCGGCUAACUACGUGCCAGCAGCCGCGGUAAUACGUAGGGGGCUAGCGUUAUCCGGAAUUACUGGGCGUAAAGGGUGCGUAGGUGGUUUCUUAAGUCAGAGGUGAAAGGCUACGGCUCAACCGUAGUAAGCCUUUGAAACUGGGAAACUUGAGUGCAGGAGAGGAGAGUGGAAUUCCUAGUGUAGCGGUGAAAUGCGUAGA